AGAGUUUGAUCCUGGCUCAGAGCGAACGCUGGCGGCAGGCUUAACACAUGCAAGUCGAGCGCCCCGCAAGGGGAGCGGCAGACGGGAGAGUAACACGUGGGAACGUACCCUUCAGUUCGGAACAACCCAGGGAAACUUGGGCUAAUACCGAAUACGUCCGUAAGGAGAAAGAUUUAUCGCUGAAGGAUCGGCCCGCGCCUGAUUAGCUAGUUGGUGGGGUAACGGCCCACCAAGGCUACGAUCAGUAGCUGGUCUGAGAGGAUGAUCAGCCUCACUGGGACUGAGACACGGCCCAGACUCCUACGGGAGGCAGCAGUGGGGAAUAUUGGACAAUGGGCGCAAGCCUGAUCCAGCCAUGCCGCGUGGGUGAUGAAGGCCCUAGGGUUGUAAAGCCCUUUCGGCGGGGAAGAUAAAGA
rnacentral:rRNA from 1 species